CUGGCUGGUGCCUGAUCUACCACUGUAUCACUUCUCCAGGACUAAACCAUCUGCCCCAGUGUAACUGGUUGAACAGAAAAGUGUGAAUUAGAUAUGGGAAACAGCCGCAGUCACACACAGAAUAUAGGCAUGCCACAUAUCAUAUUAAUCAGCAGAAGCUGCUUGUGCCCCUAAAUGCCCUAGGCAAUUGCCUACUUUGCCUAUGCCUAAGGCCGGCUCUGAUUGCAGUCCAUCCAAAAAAACAAAUGGGAGCAGGUGAAGAUGAGAGAGACAGACCUUGUACAGAGAGGAGGGGGCAACUUGGAAGACACUUGAGAAAAGUGAAGAGAUGUAGGUUGAUACGGUUUUGUCAAGGACAUUAAAACUAUUAUAAGUACUUGA